rnacentral:tRNA from 1 species
CGAAGGCGUAGCUGUUGGUGUCGAAGUUGACGCUGCCGGCGUCGCGGCGCGACAGGUACAGGUUCAGGCUGUUCAGCACCAGCCCGCCGUUGU